UUUAACAAGCAUUCACAUGGGUACCGCAUUCGUGCUCCAAUGUUAAAAAUACGAUAAUUUGUGCCCCUUUAGUUUUCAAUGUCUAUAUGAUGUGCAUCGAGUCAUGUACAUUUCAGUUAAACAUGACUAUCGAGGUUAGAUAUACAAGACCCUCACUAUCUAGUUGGUAUAAAUCGAGGAAAGUAGAUUGGUGAGCUAAGGGUGAACAACCAUUACACCUAACAUAGAACAACUCUAAACAUUCCUGAAUUUUUCAAACACUUCGAUUACAUAAAUUCCUCACAUGGAAAGAAGAAACAAGAAGACUUAAAAAAGGUUGGAAAUUAAACAUAGAACAAAGAAGAAACUUAACCUGGCAUUUAUAAGUGCUACAAGUGAAAGUAUGGGAAUUUGAU
rnacentral:lncRNA from 1 species